GAUGAACGCUGGCGGCGUGCCUAAUACAUGCAAGUCGAGCGAACAUACGAGGAGCUUGCUCCUCUUACGUUAGCGGCGGACGGGUGAGUAACACGUGGAUAACCUACCUUUAAGACUGGGAUAACUUCUGGAAACCGGAGCUAAUACCGGAUAAUCUAUUGAACCGCAUUGUUCAAUAGUGAAAGACGGUUUUUCUGUCACUUAUAGAUGCAUCCGCGCGUAAUUAGCUAGUUGGUAAGGUACCGGCUUACCAAGGCGAUGAUGCGUAGCCGACCUGAUAGGGUGGACGGCCAGACGGGAUGUGAGACAGGGCCGAGACACCUAGGGGAGGAAACAGUAGGGAAUCUUACGCGAGGGGGGAAAGCCGGACAGAGCAAAGUGGCGUAAAUGAUGAAGGACUGAGGAUCGGAAAACGAAGAUGUUAGGGAGGAAGAAAUGUGUAAGUGACAGGGAAGGUAUUGACGGUACCUAAUAAGAAAGCAACGGCUAACUACGUG
rnacentral:rRNA from 1 species